rnacentral:rRNA from 1 species
UGGGGAAUAUUGCACAAUGGGCGCAAGCCUGAUGCAGCCAUGCCGCGUGUAUGAAGAAGGCCUUCGGGUUGUAAAGUACUUUCAGCGGGGAGGAAGGGAGUAAAGUUAAUACCUUUGCUCAUUGACGUUACCCGCAGAAGAAGCACCGGCUAACUCCGUGCCAGCAGCCUCGGUAAUACGGUGGGUGCAAGCGUUAAUCGGAAUUACUGGGCGUAAAGCGCACGCAGGCGGCUUGUUAAGUCAGAUGUGAAAUCCUCGGGCUCAACCUGGGAACUGCAUCUGAUACUGGCAAGCUUGAGUCUCGUAGAGGGGGGUAGAAUUCCAGGUGUAGCGGUGAAAUGCGUAGAGAUCUGGAGGAAUACCGGUGGCGAAGGCGGCCCCCUGGACGAAGACUGACGCUCAGGUGCGAAAGCGUAGGGAGCAAACAGG